rnacentral:rRNA from 1 species
GAUGAACGCUGGCGGCGUGCUUAACACAUGCAAGUCGAACGGUGAAAGAGAGCUUGCUCUCUGGAUCAGUGGCGAACGGGUGAGUAACACGUGAGCAAUCUGCCCCUGACUCUGGGAUAAGCGCUGGAAACGGCGUCUAAUACCGGAUACGAGCUGCGAAGGCAUCUUCAGCAGCUGGAAAGAACUUCGGUCAGGGAUGAGCUCGCGGCCUAUCAGCUAGUUGGUGAGGUAACGGCUCACCAAGGCGUCGACGGAUAGCCGGCCUGAGAGGGUGACCGGCCACACUGGGACUGAGACACGGCCCAGACUCCUACGGGAGGCAGCAGUGGGGAAUAUUGCACAAUGGGCGAAAGCCUGAUGCAGCAACGCCGCGUGAGGGACGACGGCCUUCGGGUUGUAAACCUCUUUUAGCAGGGAAGAAGCGAAAGUGACGGUACCUGCAGAAAAAGCACCGGCUAACUACGUG